AUACGGAGGAUCCGAGCGUUGUCCGGAUUUAUUGGGUUUAAAGGGUGCGUAGGUGGUUUGAUAAGUCAGCGGUGAAAGUUUGCAGCUUAACUGUAAAAAUGCCGUUGAAACUGUCGGACUUGAGUGUAAAUGAGGUAGGCGGAAUGCGUGGUGUAGCGGUGAAAUGCAUAGAUAUCACGCAGAACUCCGAUUGCGAAGGCAGCUUACUAAGCUACAACUGACACUGAAGCACGAAAGCGUGGGGAUCAAACAGGAUUAGAUACCCUGGUAGUCCACGCAGUAAACGAUGAUUACUAGCUGUUUGCGAUACACAGUAAGCGGCACAGCGAGAGCGUUAAGUAAUCCACCUGGGGAGUACGCCGGCAAGGUUGAAACUCAAAUGAAUUGGCGGGG
rnacentral:rRNA from 1 species